rnacentral:rRNA from 1 species
GAUCUCAGCUCAAGCAAGACUACCCGCUGAAUUUAAGCAUAUUAAUAAGCGGAGGAAAAGAAAAUAACAAUGAUUCCCUCAGUAACGGCGAGUGAAGCGGGAAGAGCUCAAAUUUUAAAGCUACAUGGUUUCCAUGUCGCGUUGUAAAUUCAAGAAACGUUU